GGUCAAGCUACAAAGGGCGCAUGGUGAAUGCCUUGGCAUCAGGAGCCGAUGAAGGACGUGAUAAGCUGCGAUAAGCUUCGGGUAGGCGCACAUAGCCUGAGAUCCGAAGAUCUCCGAAUGAGGAAACUCACAUGGGAAACCCCAUGUAUCAUUAAGUGAAUACAUAGCUUAAUGAAGGUAACCCAGGGAACUGAAACAUCUAAGUACCUGGAGGAAGAGAAAGAAAAAUCGAUUUUCUUAGUAGCGGCGAGCGAAAGGGAAAGAGCCCAAACCGGAAACUUGUUUCCGGGGUUGUGGACAUGACAUAAAAGUGGAGGCUAUUGUAACUGAAGAGAACUGGAAAGUUCCACCGUAGAAGGUAAUAGUCCUGUAAGUGAAACGAGAAGACCACGAGUUAUGAUCCAGAGUACCACGAGACACGUGAAACCUUGUGGGAAGCAGGGAGGACCACCUCCCAAGGCUAAAUACUACCUGAUGACCGAUAGUGAAGCAGUACCGUGAGGGAAAGGUGAAAAGAACCCCGGGAGGGGAGUGAAAUAGAACCUGAAACCGUGUGCCUACAACCGCUCAGAGCCCCUUAUGAGGGUGAUGAGGUGCUUUUUGUAGAACGAGCCAACGAGUUACGGUAUGUAGCAAGGUUAAGUACUUAAGGUACGGAGCCGAAGGGAAACCGAGUCUGAAUAGGGCGACUAGUUGCAUGCCGUAGACCCGAAACCGGGUGACCUAUCCAUGGCCAGGUUGAAGCGAGGGUAAAACCUCGUGGAGGACCGAACCACGUUGCUGUUGAAAAAGCAUGGGAUGAGCUGUGGAUAGCGGAGAAAUUCCAAUCGAACCCGGAGAUAGCUGGUUCUCUCCGAAAUAGCUUUAGGGCUAGCGUCGAGUAUGAGUAGUGGAGGUAGAGCACUGAAUGGGCUAGGGGGCAUAGCGCUUACCGAACCUUAUCAAACUCCGAAUGCCACAUACUUUGAGCUCGGCAGUCAGACUACGAAUGAUAAGAUCCGUGGUCAAAAGGGAAACAGCCCAGAUCGUCAGCUAAGGUCCCAAAGUGUAAGUUAAGUGGGAAAGGAUGUGAGAUUUCUAAGACAACUAGGAUGUUGGCUUAGAAGCAGCCAUUCAUUAAAAGAGUGCGUAAUAGCUCACUAGUCGAGAGAUCUUGCGCCGAAAAUGUAACGGGGCUAAACUUACCACCGAAGCUACGGGCUUGAACUUAGUUCAAGCGGUAGGAGAGCGUCGUAACCGGGCUGAAGUCGUACCGUAAGGAGCGGUGGACUGGUUACGAGUGAGAAUGUUGGCAUCAGUAGCGAGAUGUGGGUGAGAAUCCCACAGGCCGAAAACCUAAGGUUUCCUCAGGAAGGUUCGUCCGCUGAGGGUUAGUCGGGACCUAAGCCGAGGCCGAAAGGCGUAGGUGAUGGACAACUGGUUGAUAUUCCAGUACCACUACCAUCGUUAUUAUCGAUGGCGUGACGCAGGAGGAUAGUGUGUGCUAGCUAUUGGAUGCUAGUCUAAGCGUUUAGGCAGUGAGAGUAGGCAAAUCCGCUCUCAUAAUGCUGAGGCGUGAUGGGGAAGGUUCCACGGAACCGAAGUACAUGAUUCCACGCUGCCAAGAAAAGCGUCUAGAGAGAGAAGUAGUGCCCGUACCGCAAACCGACACAGGUAGGUGAGGAGAGAAUCCUAAGGCCGGCGGAAGAAUUACAGUUAAGGAACUCGGCAAAUUGACCCCGUAAGUUCGCGAGAAGGGGUGCCUACGAGAGUAGGCCGCAGAGAAUAGGCCCAAGCAACUGUUUAGCAAAAACACAGGUCUCUGCUAAAGCGUAAGCUGAUGUAUAGGGGCUGACGCCUGCCCGGUGCUGGAAGGUUAAGGGGAACACUUAGCGCAAGCGAAGGUGUGAACUUAAGCCCCAGUAAACGGCGGCCGUAACUAUAACGGUCCUAAGGUAGCGAAAUUCCUUGUCAGGUAAGUUCUGACCCGCACGAAUGGCGUAAUGACUUGGGCACUGUCUCAACUGUAAAUCCGGCGAAGUUGUAGUGCGAGUGAAGAUGCUCGCUACCCGCGAUUGGACGGAAAGACCCCGUAGAGCUUUACUGUAGCUUAGCAUUGAGUUUUGGUAUUGUCUGUACAGGAUAGGUGGGAGACUAGGAAACCAGGGCGUCAGCCUUGGUGGAGUCAACCUUGGGAUACCACCCUGACAGUACUGAAAUUCUAACUGGCGGCCAUGAAUCUGGUCACAGGACAUUGUUAGGUGGGCAGUUUGACUGGGGCGGUCGCCUCCUAAAAAGUAACGGAGGCGCCCAAAGGUUCCCUCAGAACGGUCGGAAAUCGUUCGAAGAGUGCAAAGGCAGAAGGGAGCCUGACUGCGACACCCACAAGUGGAGCAGGGACGAAAGUCGGGCUUAGUGAUCCGGUGGUACCUCGUGGGAGGGCCAUCGCUCAACGGAUAAAAGCUACCUCGGGGAUAACAGGCUGAUCUCCCCCAAGAGUCCACAUCGACGGGGAGGUUUGGCACCUCGAUGUCGGCUCGUCGCAUCCUGGGGCUGAAGUAGGUCCCAAGGGUUGGGCUGUUCGCCCAUUAAAGCGGCACGCGAGCUGGGUUCAGAACGUCGUGAGACAGUUCGGUCCCUAUCCGUCGCGGGCGUAGGAAAUUUGAGAGGAGCUGUCCUUAGUACGAGAGGACCGGGAUGGACUGACCUCUGGUGUACCAGUUGUUCCGCCAGGAGCACAGCUGGGUAGCUAAGUCGGGAAUGGAUAAACGCUGAAAGCAUCUAAGCGUGAAGCCAACCUCAAGAUGAGAUUUCCCAUAGCGUAAGCUAGUAAGAUCCCUUGAAGAACACAAGGUUGAUAGGUCGGGGGUGUAAGCAUGGUAACAUGUUCAGCUGACCGAUACUAAUAGAUCGAGGGCUUGACCAA
rnacentral:rRNA from 1 species